rnacentral:rRNA from 1 species
GACGAACGCUGGCGGCGUGCCUAAUACAUGCAAGUUGAGCGCUGAAGGUUGGUACUUGUACCAACUGGAUGAGCAGCGCACGGGUGAGUAACGCGUGGGGAAUCUGCCUUUGAGCGGGGGACAACAUUUGGAAACGAAUGCUAAUACCGCAUAAAAACUUUAAACACAAGUUUUAAGUUUGAAAGAUGCAAUUGCAUCACUCAAAGAUGAUCCCGCGUUGUAUUAGCUAGUUGGUGAGGUAAAGGCUCACCAAGGCGAUGAUACAUAGCCGACCGGAGAGGGUGAUCGGCCACAUUGGGACUGAGACACGGCACAAACGCCUACGGGAGGCAGCAGGAGGGAAGCGUCGGGAAGGGACGAAAGGCUGACCGAGAAACGCGGCGGGAGGGAAGAAGGAUGUCGGAUCGUAAAACUCGGUUGGUAGAGAAGAACGUGGGUGAGAGUGGAAAGCUCAUCAAGUGACGGUAACUACACAGAAAGGGACGGCUAACUACGUG